CCAGCACCUGCGGUAAUUCCAGCUCCAAUAGCGUAUAUUUAAGUUGUUGCAGUUAAAAAGCUCGUAGUUGGAUUUCGGGCGGGUGACGGCGGUCCGCCUCUGGUGUGCACUGCUGCUCAUCCGCCUUACUGUCGGGGACGGGCUCCUGGGCUUCACUGUCCGGGACCCGGGUUCGACAUGGUUACUUUGAGUAAAUUAGAGUGUUCAAAGCAGGCGUUCGCCCUGAAUACAUUAGCAUGGAAUAGCACGAUAGGACUCUGGCCUAUUCUGCUGGUCUGUAGGACCGGAGUAAUGAUUAAGAGGGACAGUCGGGGGCAUUCGUAUUUCGUUGUCAGAGGUGAAAUUCUUGGAUUUACGAAAGACGAACUGCUGCGAAAGCGUUUGCCAAGGAUGCUUUCGUCGAUCAAGAACGAAAGU
rnacentral:rRNA from 1 species